ACUUGCGGGUGGUCAGCACCAUAAGAUUUCAAGGAAUCCAACAAAUCCGACCCAUUAAAGCUCGAUGAAUGUGACUCCUCUGAUGCAUUGGUUGAUGAAGAAUUGCUUCCGUCUGAAUCCAAAGAACUAAAAGAUGGCCAGUUAGAGGUCGAAGAGAAAAUACGAGACAGGCUCCGCGAGCUCUCAAUCGACAGAAUAUUUAUGCUUUCCUUUUGACCCCAUAGAGACUUGCGGGUGGUCAGCACCAUAAGAUUUCAAGGAAUCCAACAAAUCCAACCCAUUAAAGCUCGAUGAAUGUGACUCCUCUGAUGCAUUGGUUGAUGAAGAAUUGCUUCCGUCUGAAUCCAAAGAACUAAAAGAUGGCCAGUUAGAGGUCGAAGAGAAAAUACGAGACAGGCUCCGCGAGCUCUCAAUCAAUUUAGCAUCCAUUCCUCGUUCUUUUCUGGCAUCCUCUACUAGUUCCUCAGCUGCAGUCGGUGGAUUCUUUAAUAAGGUUAGAGCACAAGCUAUUAUGCUCGAGAA
rnacentral:lncRNA from 1 species